rnacentral:rRNA from 1 species
UGCAGUCGAACGGUAACAUUUCUAGCUUGCUAGAAGAUGACGAGUGGCGGACGGGUGAGUAAUGCUUGGGAACUUGCCUUUGCGAGGGGGAUAACAGUUGGAAACGACUGCUAAUACCGCAUAAUGUCUUCGGACCAAACGGGGCUUCGGCUCCGGCGCAAAGAGAGGCCCAAGUGAGAUUAGCUAGUUGGUAAGGUAACGGCUUACCAAGGCGACGAUCUCUAGCUGUUCUGAGAGGAAGAUCAGCCACACUGGGACUGAGACACGGCCCAGACUCCUACGGGAGGCAGCAGUGGGGAAUAUUGGACAAUGGGGGCAACCCUGAUCCAGCGAUGCCGCGUGAGUGAUGAAGGCCUUAGGGUUGUAAAGCUCUUUCGUCAGGGAAGAUAAUGACGGUACCUGAAGAAGAAGAUCCGGCUAACUCCGUGCCAGCAGCCGCGGUAAUACGGAGGGAUUUAGCGUUAUUCGGAAUUACUGGGCGUAAAGCGAGCGUAGGCGGAUUUGUAAGUUGGAGGUGAAAUCCCAGAGCUUAACUCUGGAACUGCCUUCAAAACUACAUUUCUUGAGUUUGGUAGAGGAGAGUGGAAUUCCUAGUGUAGAGGUGAAAUUCGUAGAUAUUAGGAGGAACACCAGUGGCGAAGGCGACUCUCUGGGCCAAUACUGACGCUGAGGUUCGAAAGCAUGGGUAGCG